rnacentral:lncRNA from 1 species
AAUGGCCUCUGCUUCAGUUCCUGCCUUGAGUUCUUGCCCUGACUUCUCCUCAUGGAUCUUCUCGGACCUCGGACGUCACGCCAGAUACCUAACAGCCAGGUGCCCUCGAGUAUAAAGGUGAAGAUGACUUUGCUCUCCAGUGCCAGCAUCACAUCCCCCUCAGUGGACAUUGUUCUGCAGGUGCUGUGAUGUGUUGAAGAUAAAAUGCAAAUAAGGGGCCAGGGAGCUGGCUCAGCAUUUAAGACCACUGGCUGCUCUUCCGGAGGACCUGUGUUUGAUUUCCAGCACCUACACCCAUCUGUAACUUCUCGUCCAAGAGAUCAGACAUCUGAAGUCACCAGACAUGCAUGUGGUACACAGAUUGAAUGUAGACAAAACACCUAUGUGUGUGAAAAAAUAAGUGCAAACAAGAGCUGGUAUUUAACAUGGAAUCUAUAUUUGCAUAUGGUCAAAUAACCUGCUAAAUAAAUGACUAAAUGUAGUG